GAUGAACGCUGGCGGCGUGCUUAACACAUGCAAGUCGAACGGACUUUACAUGAAGCCUAGCGAAUGUAAAGUUAGUGGCGGACGGGUGAGUAACGCGUGAAUAACCUGCCUUAUACUGGGGGACAACAGUUGGAAACGACUGCUAAUACCGCAUAAGCGCACGGAGCUGCAUGGCUCAGUGUGAAAAACUCCGGUGGUAUAAGAUGGAUUCGCGUCUGAUUAGCUAGUUGGUGAGGUAACGGCUCACCAAGGCGACGAUCAGUAGCCGGCCUGAGAGGGUGAACGGCCACAUUGGGACUGAGACACGGCCCAAACUCCUACGGGAGGCAGCAGUGGGGAAUAUUGCACAAUGGGGGAAACCCUGAUGCAGCGACGCCGCGUGAGUGAAGAAGUAUUUCGGUAUGUAAAGCUCUAUCAGCAGGGAAGAAAAUGACGGUACCUGACUAAGAAGCCCCGGCUAACUACGUG
rnacentral:rRNA from 1 species